UGUGUGCGAUGCCAUUUGAAAAAAAAAAAAAAAAAUUCUGGCAGAAGAGAAGAGAACCCACGUGCCUGGCACCCUGUUUCAACAAAAAAAAAAAAAAGAAAAAAAAAAAGAAAAGAAAAAACUGUGCAGAGAAGAGAACCCACGGUGUAGAGAAGAGAAGAAGAACCCAUGGUGCAGAGAAGAACCCACGCCCAGCAGCUCCAGCUCCAAACCAGAUCCACCAGCCGCAAGCACCUCCAGCUUUCAGCAAUAUGCAAAUGAGAGUGGAACUCAAGUGUACACUCCACAAGUUGUAGAAGAAAGAAAGCCAAAGGUUAAACAAGAAUUUCAAACAAUUGAAGAGGCUUUCCAAUUUUACAAUGCAUAUGCAAGAGAAUGUGGAUUUAGUGCAAGAAUGAGUACUAGCAAGAGAAAAGAAAAAACAAAUGAGCUAAUAUGGAAACAAUUUGUGUUUUAAGGAAGGAGAGACGAAUGAAUAUUAUCAAAAGAAUGAAAAACAUAUAAUUGAAAGAUCUGGUGAAAGGAAUCGAGGAUUAGUUCGAGUUGGCUGCAAAGCUAAGAUGACAGUGGUUAAGAGUCAAAUAGGGCCAAAUUGGAUUAUUAACCAAUUUGUAGAAGAGUAUAACCAUGCACUUGCUACUCCAAACAAGAUACAUAUGUUAAGAUCUCAUAGAGUUGUAUCAGCUGCAAAAAGAGUUUUGAGCCAACAAUUAUCAGAAGCAAAUAUUCCAAUGUGUCAACAAAUAAGGGUGUUGGAAAUAGAAGCUGGUGGUCCUCAAAAUAUAGAAUGUGUUGAGAAAGAUAUAAGAAACUAUGGAUAGAGGAUGAGAGAUGAUAAAAAAGAUAAUGAUGCAUAAUUGUUAAUUGAAUUUUUUUUCUUCCGAUGAAGAAAAAAAUCUAGCCUUUUACUUUAAGUAUGAACUCGAUGAAGAAAGCAGGCUUGUUAGAUGCUUCUGGGCAGAUCCUUUUGCAAGGAGAUCGUAUCCUUUCUUUGGUGAUGUAGUAGUAUUUGACACAACUUACAACACGAAUAAAUACGAUAUGAUAUUUGCUCCAUUGGCAAAAGUAAACCAUAAUGGUCAGACUGUCAUUUUUGGAUGUGCUUUGUUGAGUGGUGAAAAGACAGAAUCUUUUAUUUGGUUAUUCAAUCAAUUGUUGGAUGCAAUGCCAAGGGGUGUACCUCAAGUGAUUAUUACGAAUCAAGAUCUUGCAAUGACUAAGACCAUUUCUCAAGUUCUUCCAUCAACUUGUCAUCGAUACUGUAUCUGUCUUAUUUUGAAUAAAUUUUCAAAGAAGAUAAAUACGCUAGUUUAUCGGGAUAACUAUCAUUGGUUCAAAAAUAUAAUUUUGAACUCUGAGACCGUUGAAGAGUUUGAAAGUAGAAGAGUUUGAAAGUAGUUGGGUUGAGUUGUUGAAGAAUACUAAUUUGGAAGAUAAUACAUGGCUGCGCCAAUUGUAUGAAAUUCGCAACAAGUGGGUUCCUAUUUAUUUUAAUCAUAUCUUCAAUGCAAGAAUGUUAAGUAGUCAAAGAGCAGAAAGUUCACAUGCAUUUUUCAAAAGGCACAUUUCAAACAAAAAUUCAUUGAUGGACUUUAUUAUACACUUUAAUAGAGCUGUUAAUCAUCAAAGACAUGAUGAGUUAGUUGCAGAUCAUAUUGAUGUGAAUGAGCAACCAAAGUUGAAAACUAUGUGCCCAAUGGAGACACAAAUGGUGAAAAUAUACACAGAGAGAAAUUUUAAAAUUUUUCAAGAUAAGUUAUUUGCGAGUUCUGCAUAUUUCUUAAGUUGCACAUUUGAGGAUGAUGAUUCGAUGCUUUAUAGUGUGCAGAAGGCUGGUGAAAGUUGUUCAUCAAGAAGUAGACAACUUGACUAUAAUAAACUUUUAGAUUUUGUGUCAUGCAAUUGUAGGCUAUUUAACUUUAAUGGCAUCCUAUGUAGACAUAUAUUAGCUUACUUUCGAAUUAAACAAGUCAUGUUUUUGCCAAGCGAAUACAUUCUUAGGAGAUGGACAAAACGUACAAAAAUUGAUGAAGUGUGGGAUAAUAAUGGUCAAGCAAUGAAUGACCAAGAUGAUAUGUCAUUGGUGACUAGGCAUGUAAGUUUAUCUCGAGCUUGUUCUAAUUUAAUUGAUGAUGCAUCUCUCAUAGUUGAAGAUACCAAAUUCCUUUUGAAUGAGAUUGAAUUGCUAUGUGGUAAAAUUAAAGAAAUAAAUGGUGAUGGAAUGUUAGUGCCAAAAACAAAUAGCAAAAGAAGUACACAAGAGCUUCCAAGUAUUAGUAAUCCAUCACAUGUGAGAUCAAAAAGAUGUGGAAAAAGAUUUAAAAGAGAUGUCAAUUUCAAAAUCACGACUUUGUCAAGGAUGUGGACUUCGUGGACAGCAAUACGAUAAAAGGAAUUGUCCUUGAUUGCAAGAAAGAUCCACAAUGUAUGAUCAGGACAUCAAUUCCAAUUCGGCAAGUGAAGAUGAUGAUUUAACUUCUCAUGCUGGAUCAAAUUUACAUAGUGCUAAAACAUCAUAAUUGUCAUAUCGUGAAGAGCAGCAGGACCAUGGAGAUUGUCAUAUCGUGAAGGCUGGUUGUAUGAAAACUAUGUGUAAUGUACGAGAACUAUGUGUAAUGUGUGGCCGAUUAUAAUUUUUCUUUUCUUUUUGUAGUUUUUUAAACAUAUUUUGAUCUCUUUCCUCUCACUCUUUAUUUCGCUCUCGAAAAUUUGUAGCAACUUGAAUACGAAAAUAUUAUGAGAAUUUUCAUUC